UGUCGUCAGCUCGUGCCGUGAGGGUGUUGGGUUAAGUCCCGCAACGAGCGCAACCCUACUUGUCCAGUUGCUACCAGGUAAUGCUGGGCACUCUGGUGAGGCUGCCCGGUUAACGGGGAGGAAGUGGGGACGACGUCAAGUCAUCAUGGCCCUUACGCCUAGGGCUACACACGUACUACAAUGGCGCAUACAAAGGGCAGCGAUACCGCGAGGUGGAGCCAAUCCCAAAAAGUGCGUCCCAGUCCGGAUUGCAGUCUGCAACUCGACUGCAUGAAGUUGGAAUCGCUAGUAAUUCGAGAUCAGCAUGCUCGGGUGAAUGCGUUCCCGGGCCUU
rnacentral:rRNA from 1 species